GCCAGGUGUGGUGGCUCACGCCUGUAAUCCCAGCAGUUUGGGAGGCUGAGAUGGGUGGAUCACUUGAGGUCAGGAGUUCCAGACCAGCCUGGUCAACAUGGUGAGACUCCAUCUCUA
ensembl:misc_RNA Metazoa_SRP Metazoan signal recognition particle RNA